rnacentral:rRNA from 1 species
UACGUAGGGGGCUAGCGUUGUCCGGAAUCAUUGGGCGUAAAGCGCGUGUAGGCGGUCCGGUAAGUCCGCUGUGAAAGUCGAGGGCUCAACCCUCGAAUGCCGGUGGAUACUGUCGGGCUUGAGUACGGGAGAGGCGAGUGGAAUUCCUGGUGUAGCGGUGAAAUGCGUAGAUAUCGAGAGGAACACCUGCGGCGAAGGCGGGUAGCUGGGCCGACACUGACGCUGAGGCGCGAAAGCCAGGGGAGCGAACGGG